UACGUAGGGUGCGAGCGUUAAUCGGAAUUACUGGGCGUAAAGGGCGCGUAGGCGGUUUGACAAGUCUGAUGUGAAAUCUAUGGGCUCAACCCAUAGCCUGCAUUAGAAACUGUCGGGCUUGAGUAUGGGAGAGGUGAGUGGAAUUUCCGGUGUAGCGGUGAAAUGCGUAGAUAUCGGAAGGAACACCUGUGGCGAAAGCGGCUCACUGGACCAUAACUGACGCUGAGGCGCGAAAGCUAGGGGGGCAAACAGG
rnacentral:rRNA from 1 species